rnacentral:rRNA from 1 species
AGAGUUUGAUCCUGGCUCAGAUUGAACGCUGGCGGAAUGCUUUACACAUGCAAGUCGAACGGCAGCAUAGGUGCUUGCACCUGAUGGCGAGUGGCGAACGGGUGAGUAAUACAUCGGAACGUGCCCAGUCGUGGGGGAUAACGUAGCGAAAGUUACGCUAAUACCGCAUACGAUCUAAGGAUGAAAGCGGGGGACCGUAAGGCCUCGCGCGAUUGGAGCGGCCGAUGUCAGAUUAGCUAGUUGGUAGGGUAAAGGCCUACCAAGGCGACGAUCUGUAGCGGGUCUGAGAGGAUGAUCCGCCACACUGGGACUGAGACACGGCCCAGACUCCUACGGGAGGCAGCAGUGGGGAAUUUUGGACAAUGGGGGCAACCCUGAUCCAGCCAUGCCGCGUGAGUGAAGAAGGCCUUCGGGUUGUAAAGCUCUUUCGGCCGGGAAGAAAUCGCACAGGCUAAUACUCUGUGUGGAUGACGGUACCGGCAUAAGAAGCACCGGCUAACUACGUGCCAGCAGCCGCGGUAAU